UUACACUGUUCCUCUUUGGACUUUCAGAAAUAAAAACCCAGCCCCCCUGGUGUGCAGUCACACUCGCGCCCUGAGGAGUGUUAAAAUUCAGCUCGAGAGGCACUUAGUGUCACAGAAGGGUAGAUAAAGAAACAAGAUUUCAAGCAGGAAGAAAUGAUAAAAAAGAAGCAGGACUUCAAGUGUCCUGUGAAACAGAGCAUUUGGCCUCCGGCAUACACAUCCAUGGGAGACGGCUCAACUUCUUUAUAAAGUGGUGAGUUUUGUGUGAGCACAGAUGCAUUUUGUUUUCCUAUGAGAAACCAGUGAUUAAAUUAUCAGAAAGCAAGCUAAAAACCAGGCUGCCUGAAUAUUCCCUCACACAUCCCCUGUGUCUCCCCAGCACCUUCUGCUCAGGAGGUGUGGGCUUUAUCUCCAAAGCUUUAGUUUAAAUGUCCAACACAUCUUAUUAAUGAAAGUAAUAAGCUGUUGUUUAUUAUAUGCCAUGAUGGGGAAUAUGACUAUUUAAUAUAAAUCUGACAUUUAAAUUCCACUUAGUUCUGAGAUGUGGACGAUAUCAAGGCAUAACUCUUUACCCUGGAGUAAAAACUCCCUGGGUCUGCAUUUUAAAGCAUUGAAGUUUUCAAAGUAAUCAGGUUCCUUUUUUUUUUUUUUCCAGAGGAACCAAAUUGUGAAGACAUCUGUUCUGUUAUUAAUUUCACAUACAUCUUAAGCUCCUCAAGGCCAGAAAUGAGGCUUCAUUCACGUCGAAUUAAUGAAACAUGAUUGUACCCUACAGUCAUUCCACCAUUAUUGCUCCAGUGAAGGGUGAAUGCCACCUUGAGAAGGAAUAUGAUAUGGGACAGGAGAAGACUAAGCUAUAUGAGAAGACGAGGUGGGAACCCACUUCCUGGACCGGCAGCAGUGAAGAAGAAAAUGAAGGGCACAAAUAUGUAAGGGAAGCAGGCAACGUGCCACAGGUGUUCUGACUGCCCCUGCAGGGAACACGUGCCAAGGCCACAGUCUCCAAGUGAGUAAGAGCAUCACCUGAAAUGUCCAAGUGGGGUCAACCCUGGGAGCAAAGUGGAGACACCACUCUCCAGAAGGUUCCAGGGAGCACUUAGAAGGCAUAGUGUGGGCUAGAGGUCUCCUCUCUCACUGUCAUAAACACAAGGACAGAAAGGGACAAUUUUAACUGGGAGGAGAUGCUUCCAACUGAAGAAGCAGAGUCAUCUUUAAUGAAAAAGUUUAAAAUAUCCACUUCUGAACCCAACACCAAACACACAUUCCCACUGGCAAGAGGCUUGUGUAGAUGAUAAGAUCACUUACAGAAAAUAAAACAGCUGUGUUUCCUUUGUGCA
rnacentral:lncRNA from 13 species